UGUUGCGGAAACCGUGCCAGUACAAUGAAUCACUGUUUAAACCGAUUCAAGUCUAAAAUUCAAUCGUAUACAUUUUAGCUGAAUAACAACGAAUUUAUUACGUAUUAAUAUUCAGGUCGUCCCUGAAACGAACCGUUCUAAUUGUAAUAUUUCCCCGGGUGUUUCUAUGGGUGUUUUCCCCUUAUUGACUUUGAAAUGCUUCGGUAACCUACUGGUACACUAAUUUUAUCUUGAAAUCACAUAUUUAUGCCUAGUUACGAGGG